AUUCGAAGAGCGAAAUACAAAAUGUCAGGCCGACGAAACGCACUAAAUCGUGGCCUAAAAACGGUGUUAAUUAAGCAAAUAGUAUGUUUUACUGCAAUGUACAGAUUUUUACGGAAAUAUCCAUACUUUUUAACAAGUAAUAUCCAUACUUUUCCUCCGACUGGUGUGGCAACACUGUUCCAGACGCCGCCGGAUCCUGGAUGAUGGAGUUGAGGAACAUGACUGCGUCUCGCGUCUCGAUGUCUUGGAGGAGUGCGGUAAUUUUCAACGUGAACAGCUCCAGCACAUGAUGAAGUUUGUGAAGCUAUAAGUGAGUAUCCGUCGUAAGAGUCUAUACAGGUAAACGACCGUGGUGUCUGAUUAUUGGCGUUCGUUUGUUCUUCCAGUCGAUUCAGCCCCAUGAAAAUAAAAACGAUCCUGGCUAUGCUUGUAGGCACAUUAGCGUGCGUGUGCUACUUUUAAUUUGCGGUCGAUUCACAGUAGUUUUCAUCUUACAUGUUCUUUUGGGACUCGGAAACUGUCUCUUUGAGCAAGCUUGGAAUCAUUUCCAGCCUAAUGCGCUACAGUGUGCUUCGACGACGUAACUUCUACUUGGCCGGUGAGUUCCAGAGAUUGGAAAAGGAAGGCACAAUGAAAUCAAUAGCCGUUCAUAAGGCAACAAGGGACCAGAGGCUACAGUUGCGUCGCUAGCAGGGAUACGAGCUAAUUAUACUGAUGCAACGUCCAAGUGCCUACGUGUAGGGAUAAGCAGAGGACCCAGCACAACCACAAGCCAAUUGUGCAGAAGAUAAACACGGAUGCUAUAUCAAAUUCAA